AGUGGAUGGGGAGCAACCUAGUUGUGCGUGUGUAAAGGUAGUGCCAAGAAAAGCGAUGAUCAUGUUGAAAAUCAAUUCCCGGUACCCGAAACCGACACAGGUGGGCAAGUAGAGAAUACUAAGGGGCGCGAGGUAACUCUCUCCAAGGAACUCGGCAAAAUGACCCCGUAACUUAGGGAGAAGGGGUGCCACCGAGAGGUGGUCGCAGUGAAGAGGCCCAGGCGACUGUUUAGCAAAAACAUAGGUCUCUGCAAACUCGAAAGAGGAGGUAUAGGGGCUGACGCCUGCCCAGUGCCGGAAGGUUAAAGAAGUUGGUCAGUCUUAGGAUGAAGCUAGCGACUGAAGCCCCGGUGAACGGCGGCCGUAACUAUAACGGUCCUAAGGUAGCGAAAUUCCUUGUCGGGUAAGUUCCGACCCGCACGAAAGGCGUAACGAUCUGGGCGCUGUCUCGGAGAGAGGCUCGGCGAAAUAGGAUUGUCUGUGAAGAUACGGACUACCUGCAUUUGGACAGAAAGACCCUAUGAAGCUUUACUAUAGCUUGGAAUUGUGUUCGGGCUUCCUGUGCGCAGGAUAGGUGGGAGGCGUAGAAGGUAUUCUUGUGGGGAUACUGGAGCCAACGGUGAGAUACCACUCUCAGGAGGCUAGAAUUCUAACUUAAUUAAGGACAGCUUCAGGUGGGUAGUUCGACUGGGGCGGUCGCCUCCAAAAAGGUAACGGAGGCGUACAAAGGUUCCCUCAGACUGGUUGGAAAUCAGUCGGAGAGUGCAAAGGCAGAAGGGAGCUUGACUGCGAGAAGUACAGUUCGAGCAGGGUGGAAACACGGUCUUAGUGAUCCGACGGUGCUGUGUGGAAGGGCCGUCGCUCAACGGAUAGAAGUUACUCUAGGAUAACAGGCUGAUCUCCCCCAAAAGUUCACAUCGACGGGGAGGUUUGGCACCUCGAUGUCGGCUCAUCGCAACCUGGGGCGGAAGUACGUCCCAAGGGUUGGGCUGUUCGCCCAUUAAAGCGGUACGUGAGCUGGGUUCAGAACGUCGUGAGACAGUUCGGUCCAUAUCCGAUGUAGGCGUGAGAAUAUUGAGAGGAGCCUUCCUUAGUACGAGAGGACCGGGAAGGACGCACCGCUGGUGUACCUGUUAUGAUGCCAAUUGUAAACGCAGGGUAGCCAAGUGCGGAGAGGAUAACCGCUGAAAGCAUCUAAGUGGGAAGCCCACCUCAAGAUGAG
rnacentral:rRNA from 1 species